rnacentral:lncRNA from 1 species
CUUCCGGCGAGGUUUCCGUCGCAAUACUCGUCGGUCAUCUGGAGGAACACAGCGGCGCAGUGCAGCGCCGCCACGUUGUGAACCGUGAUCUCGAAGUUAACGCCGUAACAGAACUUCGCCGCUUUCUCAAAAGCUUCUGAUCCUCCAGGUAUGUCGGAAAUCUCUAUUCUUGUUAGGUCACUCUCCUCUGAUUCCAUUAUCACUUUUCUGACGUAGUUACUCUUCGCCGCCAGAAUAAACUGUAAUAACAUAUUCCAUACUUAAUUAAAUUUUAACACACAAAAUCAUGCACAAAGAAUAAUCACGAUCAAUCACGAACCACGAACCACGAAUAUACGAACAAGUUAUCAACAAAAUAUACAACAAUAUAUGUUGGUACCUUGUGGAGAGAAAAAUUGGUUUGUCCAACUGCAACAAUAACAUCGGUGGGGAUUUCUGGGGAGAAAACCCUGCAAUAACAAUUGAUACAUGAAAUUGAUUCUUAUAAGAACUAUAGCAUAAACACAUUUGAUUAACUGAUUCAUGAAGUUGUGCAAUGGAGAAGAAUGGAAUAAUUGAUUAAGCUUGAGAUUGAAAAUGAAGGAGUGGUGUGGGUGUUUACCAUUGCCCGGUUCUCUCCAUGGCAAGGGAGAAUCUGGUGGGGUUGGGGGUUGCCAUGAGCUGAUGUAGUUGGUUUUUUCGUGGUCUGAAUUGGAUUAGGGGUUUGAGAGUAACAGCAUGUUAUUAUAUGGUGUUCUUAGCUGUUGUUAUAAGGGGAUUUUUGAUCCCUGUUAUGAUUGUUAUCUUGUCAUGAGUUGAGUUUGUGACUGUGGUCCAUGUCUGUCAUGUUUUCUUUUUCCUCACUUGUUGUUAUCUUAUUUAUCCUUCCAUUAAAGUGAUUCCUUUUUGAGCUGAGAGUGUCAUACUUACCAUAAAUCUUUAGGACAGUUCAUAUUUUUUUUUUAUUCGAAAAGGGAGUAAGACUGUUAAUAGAUAUGAAGAGAAAAAACAAAAGUGAGCAUGCAUGUGAUCAAAUAGUUAAUUUGACAAGAUAAGGGAAAAAAGUAAAUUAUGAAGGUGCUAUAAAAAUGGGUAACAUAUGAUUUUUGCCCCAUCAAAAUAUUUUACAACAUUAAUUUUAGUUUCUAUAUAAAAAUUUAAUACUUUUACUCCUUAUUUACUUAAAGUAAUUUUAGUUCUUCAUCAUGGACUAAAAGCAUAUGUUUUUACCUUCUAAAUGAAUAAAAGAAAUAAAAAUAUAUUAAAUCUUUAUAAGGACUAUAAUUAACAUUAAAAAAAUAUUUAGAGAAACUAAAACACACUUUAUCCUAUAAAAAUUUAUUAUAUAGGAUAAUGGUGUCUUUAAUUUUCCAAUUUUAGAAAACAUUAUUUGGUGAUUCAGAUAAUAAUUAUAAUCUUAAAUAAUUUCUACGCAACAUCUAAUUACGUAUUAUUAAUUCUUCUUCAUAAUUGUAACUUGGAUAGAUGUCACAUAAAAGAUUAAAAUCAUUAACACAAAAUAGUGUAAGAUUAUCUAAUAAUUUUUCAGUAUGUAUUUUAGUUAACGGUCACAGUCAGGGACACAAUAUUCAGCAAUAAGUCCGAUGCUAGGUGCAGCUUGUGAGAAGUAACCAUUUGCCGUUUUGAACUCAACGCAUGUUCAUACUUCAUAGGCUAUGGACCGCAAAGCCGAACCAUACGGUUAAUCCGCUAGCUAGCUGCUUCCAUGCAAGUGGGAAGUUUGAAAUUGACAUUUAACAACGACAGUUUUUUUGGUAGCUACUCAAAAUUUUUGUUCUGCUCUUUGACUGAGGUUAUCUUACUUUCUUACCUGUUUCCAUUUUCUUCAAUCUGCAUUAAUUUUCCGUUUUUAAACUUACAGAAAUUGAUUCUUUAAAGUUUAGGUUUAAUUCCGGCGUGUAGCUUUUCUUCACAUAAUUUUGCAUAUGGGAGCUUGGAAAUUAAAUGAUACAGUUUGUUCAAUACUGCUUGCCUAAAUUAGAGUACACACGGGCUGGUUUACUAGUUAUUA